rnacentral:rRNA from 1 species
CCAAUAGCGUAUGCAAAAGUUGUUGCAGUUAAAAAGCUCGUAGUUGAAUUUCGGGACCAAUAUGUCGGUCGUGCCUCGGUACGUACUGGCAUCGUUGGUUUCUCCCUUCAGACGAACCAUGAUGUCAUUUAUUUGGUGUCGUGGGGAAUUAGGACUGUUACUUUGAAAAAAUUAGAGUGUUUAAAGCAGGCUCACGCUUGAAUACAUUAGCAUGGAAUAAUGAAAUAGGACGUUUGAUUCUAUUUUGUUGGUUUCUAGGAUCGACGUAAUGAUUAAUAGGGAUAGUUGGGGGCAUUAGUAUUCAAUUGUCAGAGGUGAAAUUCUUGGAUUUAUUGAAGACUAACUACUGCGAAAGCAUUUGCCAAGGAUGUUUUCAUUAAUCAAGAACGAAAGUUAGGGGAUCGAAGACGAUCAGAUACCGUCGUAGUCUUAACCAUAAACUAUGCCGACUAGGGAUCGGAUGAUGUUAAUUUUUUAAUGACUCAUUCGGCGCCUUAC